AUGACAAAUAUGGUUCGAUGGCUCUUCUCUACUAACCACAAGGAUAUUGGGACUCUCUAUUUCAUCUUCGGUGCCAUUGCAGGAGUGAUGGGCACAUGCUUCUCCGUACUAAUUCGUAUGGAAUUAGUCCGACCCGGCGAUCAAAUUCUUGGUGGGAAUCAUCAACUUUAUAAUGUUUUAAUAACGGCUCACGCUUUUUUAAUGAUCUUUUUUAUGGUUAUGCCGGCGAUGAUAGGUGGAUUUGGUAAUUGGUUUGUUCCGAUUCUGAUAGGUGCACCUGACAUGGCAUUUCCACGAUUAAAUAAUAUAUCAUUCUGGUUGUUGCCACCAAGUCUCUUGCUCCUAUUAAGCUCAGCCUUAGUAGAAGUGGGCAGCGGCACUGGGUGGACAGUCUAUCUGCCCUUAAGUGGUAUUACCAGCCAUUCUGGAGGAGCAGUUGAUUUAGCACUUUUUAGUCUUCAUCUAUCAGGUAUUUCAUCAAUUUUAGGUUCUAUCAAUUUUAUAACAACUAUCUUCAACAUGCGUGGACCUGGAAUGACUAUGCAUAGAUUACCACUUUUUGUGUGGUCCGUUCUAGUGACAACAUUCCUACUUUUAUUAUCACUUCCGGUACUGGCGGGGGCAAUUACAAUGUUAUUAACCGAUCGAAACUUUAAUACAACCUUUUUUGAUCCUGCAGGAGGGGGAGACCCAAUAUUAUACCAGCAUCUCUUUUGGUUCUUCGGUCAUCCAGAGGUGUAUAUUCUCAUUCUGCCUGGAUUUGGUAUUAUUAGUCAUAUCGUAUCGACCUUUUCAAGAAAACCGGUCUUCGAGUAUCUAGGCAUGGUUUAUGCCAUGAUAAGUAUAGGUGUUCUUGGAUUUCUAGUUUGGGCUCAUCAUAUGUUUACUGUGGGCUUAGACGUUGAUAUGCGUGCCUACUUCACCGCAGCUACCAUGAUCAUAGCUGUGCCCACAGGAAUCAAAAUCUUUAGUUGGAUCGCUACUAUGUGGGGAGGUUCGAUACAAUACAAAACACCCAUGUUAUUUGUUGUAGGGUUCAUCUUUUUGUUCACCAUAGGCGGGAUCACUAGAAUAGUUCUAGCAAACUCUAGGCUAGACAUUGCUCUACAUGAUACUUAUUAUGUGGUUGCACAUUUCCAUUAUGUACUUUCUAUGGGAGCCGUUUUUGCUUUAUUUGCUGGAAUUUACUAUUGGGUGGGUAAAAUCUUUGGUCGGACAUAUCUUGAAACUUUAGGCCAAAUCCAUUUUUGGAUCACUUUUUUCGGGGUUAAUCUGACCUUCUUUCCCAUGCAUUUCUUAGGGCUUUUGGGUAUGCCACAUCGCAUUCCAGAUUAUCCAGAUGCUUACGCCGGAUGGAAUGCUCUGAGCAGUUUCGGUUCUUAUAUAUCCGUAGUUGGGAUUCGUCGUUUCUUCGUAGUUGUCGCAAUCACUUCAAGCAGUGGAAAGAACCAAAAAUGUGCGGAAAGUCCUUGGGCUGUUGAACAGAAUCCAACCACACUAGAAUGGUUGGUACAAAGCCCUCCGCAGUGGAUCCCUCGGAUUGGAUGA
rnacentral:rRNA from 1 species